rnacentral:tRNA from 1 species
AACAAUAUGCCUGAUUAAAGGAAUAUUUUGAUAGAAUAUUUAUGUAUAUUCUUAUACUAUUGUUA